CUGUGUCCAUAUAAAGACACAAGGCUGCAGGCUGAGUUAUACAGGGAACUCUGAGUAUCUAUCCAUUCAAUUAAUACGAUAAGUAUAAAUGCAAGGCUGUAUGGAGUUCCAGUUUGGACCCCAGUCCGAAUGGGAUUUCACUAUUACCUUGAAAGAAGCUUCCCACUAAAGGGGUGGAGUGGUAGUGGGAUUGGAUGCAUGGCAAGGUGUCAACCCCAUGUACCGUAACAUUACUCCAUAUUUUCUCCUUUAGGUGCUGCUGGCAAAAGGCCAAUUAAAAGAGAAAUAUGUAGCUUUGAAAAGAAUAAGGAAGAAUAGGUUUAUACAGUCAAUUGCUGAUGUGAGGAUUGAGCAAACUGUCUUAGUAGUAGCACAGGAGUGUAGAUUCCUCACUCGGCUAAAUGCCAUCUUCGAGACCACGGUUGGUACCAUCCUAUUAACAAUCAGUGUAUUAGCAACACAUGUAAGUCUGUUUGUAACAUAACCCUGUUUCCUUUUGCAGGACAGCAUUUUCCUUGUGUUGGACUAUAUUUCCGGAGGAACAUUAGGAGAGUUGGUGAAGAAGGGAAAAGUACUGGCGAACAACACAAUACAGUUUCUAGCUGCUGAAAUUAUUUGUGGACUGAAUUUCCUCCAUUCCCGUGGAUUUAUUCACCGGGACCUGAAGCCUCAUAAUAUUCUGCUGCACAACACAGGCCAUGCUGAGAUAGCCAAUUUCAGCCUCUCUGCAGACACCCAGAGAAGCGGCGGAAUGGCAGAAGGCUUCUGUGGAACCCGUGCAUACAUUGCACCGGAGGUAACCGACCAACAUUCUAAUUACUAUUUGUAUUUAUUAGCCUACACCACAGUACCACAGUAUGAUUAAUAAUAGAUGAUACAAAUACAUUUCUAUCCUUAUCAUAUCUACAGAAUAGAAAGUAACUGUUGUUAUAUUAGCGUAUUGUAUUCCAGAGAUAAAUGAUACUUAUUAAUACCUAAUUGCUGAUUACACCACUCAUACAUAGUGUUAAAAUCAUUUCUGUGUCUGUGAUGCUCUCUAGUAUUAUUCAUUUCCCUUAAAUAACCAAUGUUGUGUACCCAUUUAUACAACUGCAGGUAUUCCUAAAGUGCAAGUACAAUAAGGCAGAGGACUAUUAUUCUCUUGGAAUCAUACUUUUCCAGAUGACUACUGGGAUGGAUCCUCAAUAUAAUUUUGAGAGCAGAAAAGUGGCUGUAGGUAGAAAGCCUACAGGUAUAGUAGGGUAAGAUGGUGCCUAUAGUAGCAGUGUGGAUAUCUCUGGGAAGGGACUGGGGUUGUGGGAUAGAUUUGGAAAUGAUUCUGUCAUUUUGAUUGAUCUUCUCUCUUUCCAUAGCUCUUGUGUGAAAAUCCUAAUGAGCGGAUGAGAUUUGUUGCAUCUAUAAGGGACCAUCCUUUCUUUGCAAGCGUUGUCUGGUCAGCCAUAGAAGCUGGCAGAAUUCCGACGUCCAUCAAUCUAGUAAAUACAAAUUCUGGUUAGGUUAAUUAAUAAUCUGAGCUUAGUUCUCUAUUGUUCUUUAUGAACUUCUCUACUUUUAACUGAAUUUAAGUCUUCUUUUGAUUGAGUUUAUUGAUUUUAGCAUUAAUAAAAACUUAUCAUUUUAUUCUCCAGCGAAGACACUGUAAUAUUCAGAGCGAGAAGAAGAAAUUCCGUUACAAAGGGAACAAGUAAAGCUUCCAUAUUCGGGAAGGAUGCUGACAAAGUAUAUCACUUUUGUGAUCUGAUUGAAUGUUUGCAGAACCCACAAAAAAAAACUUUUGUGAAGACGAUUAUUUAACCAGCCCCAUCAGGAGAAGAAGAUGGCCACAUAAACCCCAGACUAUGUCUUCUAUAGUCUGGGUCUUGGGUGGGAGGGUGGAUAAAUAAGGCGACAAUGGGCAUGGUGCCAGGAAGGAGGCCAAUGGAGCUAUUGUCUGGACAAUGAGUGCAACAUAAGGAUAUAAUUAUCUAUCCUGUGUAUUGCACAGUGGUGGGACAUCAAAAGAGAAGAUCAAAGACUAAGAACAUGAUAUCCAACUAUGUACCUGGUCCAUAAGCUUUAGAGAACUUAAAUCAAUAAAGUUUUUUUUUAAAUA